rnacentral:rRNA from 1 species
CUCCUAGGGAGCAGCAGUGAGGAAUAUUGGUCAAUGGGCGAGACUGAACCAGCCAAGUAGCGUGCAGGAUGACGGCCCUAUGGGUUGUAAACUGCUUUUAUAAGGGAAUAAAGUGGGGCUCGUGAAAAAUUUUUGCAUGUACCUUAUGAAUAAGGACCGGCUAAUUCCGUGCCAGCAGCCGCGGUAAUAGGGAAGGUCCGGGCGUUAUCCGGAUUUAUUGGGUUUAAAGGGAGCGUAGGCCGCAGUUAAGCGUGUUGUGAAAUGUAGGGGCUCAACCUCUGCACUGCAGCGCGAACUGGCUUGCUUGAGUACGCACAACGUGGGCGGAAUUCGUGGUGUAGCGGUGAAAUGCUUAGAUAUCACGAAGAACUCCGAUUGCGAAGGCAGCUCACGGGAGCGCAACUGUACGCUGAAGCUCGAAAGUGCGGGUAUCGAACAGGAUUAGAUACCCUGGUAGUCCGCACGGUAAACGAUGGAUGCCCGCUGUUGUCUUGAAUUAGUCAGCGGCCAAGCGAAAGCAUUAAGGCAUCCCACCUGGGGAGUACGCCGGCAACGGUGAAACUCAAAGGAAUUGACGGGGGGCCCGCACAAGCGGAGGAACAUGUGGUUUAAUUCGAUGAUACGCGAGGAACCUUACCCGGGCUUGAAUUGCAGAGGAAGGAUUUGGAGACAAUGACGCCCCUCGGGGCCUCUGUGAAGGUGCUGCAUGGUUGUCGUCAGCUCGUGCCGUGAGGUGUCGGCUUAAGUGCCAUAACGAGCGCAACCCCUCUCUUUAGUUGCCAUCAGGUUAAGCUGGGCACUCUGAGGACACUGCCACCGUAAGGUGUGAGGAAGGUGGGGAUGACGUCAAAUCAGCACGGCCCUUACGUCCGGGGCUACACACGUGUUACAAUGGCAGGUACAGAGAGACGGUCUGAUGCAAAUCAGAUCCAAUCCUUAAAGCCUGUCUCAGUUCGGACUGGGGUCUGCAACCCGACCCCACGAAGCUGGAUUCGCUAGUAAUCGCGCAUCAGCCAUGGCGCGGUGAAUACGUUCCCGGGCCUUGUACACACCGC